rnacentral:rRNA from 2 species
UUCGGUAACUAUAGCAUAGGGGAAACACCCGUUCCCAUUCCGAACACGGAAGUUAAGCCCUAUAGCGCCGAUGGUAUUAUGCGGGUAGCUGCAUGAGAGAGUAGGUCGUUACCGGAU